AACGAACGCUGGCGGCAUGCCUAACACAUGCAAGUCGAACGAAGCCUUCGGGCUUAGUGGCGCACGGGUGCGUAACGCGUGGGAAUCUGCCCUUGGGUUCGGAAUAACAGUUAGAAAUGACUGCUAAUACCGGAUAAUGUCUUCGGACCAAAGAUUUAUCGCCCAGGGAUGAGCCCGCGUAGGAUUAGCUAGUUGGUGAGGUAAAGGCUCACCAAGGCGACGAUCCUUAGCUGGUCUGAGAGGAUGAUCAGCCACACUGGGACUGAGACACGGCCCAGACUCCUACGGGAGGCAGCAGUGGGGAAUAUUGGACAAUGGGCGAAAGCCUGAUCCAGCAAUGCCGCGUGAGUGAUGAAGGCCUUAGGGUUGUAAAGCUCUUUUACCCGGGAUGAUAAUGACAGUACCGGGAGAAUAAGCCCCGGCUAACUCCGUGCCAGCAGCCGCGGUAAU
rnacentral:rRNA from 1 species